rnacentral:rRNA from 1 species
GACGAACGCUGGCGGCGUGCUUAACACAUGCAAGUCGAACGGAAAGGCCCUGCUUUUGUGGGGUGCUCGAGUGGCGAACAGGUGAGUAACACGUGAGUAACCUGCCCUUGACUUUGGGAUAACUUCAGGAAACUGGGGCUAAUACCGGAUAGGAGCUCCUGCUGCAUGGUGGGGGUUGGAAAGUUUCGGCGGUUGGGGAUGGACUCGCGGCUUAUCAGCUUGUUGGUGGGGUAGUGGCUUACCAAGGCUUUGACGGGUAGCCGGCCUGAGAGGGUGACCGGCCACAUUGGGACUGAGAUACGGCCCAGACUCCUACGGGAGGCAGCGGUGGGGAAUAUUGCACAAUGGGCGGAAGCCUGAUGCAGCAACGCCGCGUGCGGGAUGACGGCCUUCGGGUUGUAAACCGCUUUCGCCUGUGACGAAGCGUGAGUGACGGUAAUGGGUAAAGAAGCACCGGCUAACUACGUG